CUGGUUCAGUUCCUUAUAGUCAAUUCAAAACCUAAGGGUCCCAUCCUUCUUCUUAAUAAACAACACUAGAGCACCCAUGGGGAAUUACUAGGCCUAAUCAGCCUCUUGGUUAGUAAUGUUGAUAACUGACGGUUCAAUUCCCUAAGUUUUGUACAACCCAAACUAUAGGGAGCCUUGGAAAUUAGGAACGUCCUUUAUAACAGGUCAGUAGAGAACUCGAUCUCCAAUCUGGGUGACAUACCUGAAAGUUCCUCAAGAAAAACAUCUGGAUAGUCACGAAUUGUUUUAUUUGGAGUUUAAUCUAUGACUUCCUAUAUGCAUAAAAGAUGUCAGGAAAGGACAAUUGUUUUAUUUGGCGUUUAAUACACAUGAGUAGAAUAAAAUUCAGAAAAUAAAUACAUUUUAAAAUACAUGUCUUAAUUAGAAAACAAAUGUUCAUGCAACAUAUUAGUGAAAGAGUUUCCUCUUGGGAAGGUG
rnacentral:lncRNA from 1 species